UUUCACCGUGGGUAUGAGGUUCCUCUCCUUGUAUCUCUGUUUCACCGUGGGUAUGAGGUUCCUCUCCUUGUAUCUCUGUUUCACCGUGGGUAUGAGGUUCCUCUCCUUGUAUCUCUGUUUCACCGUGGGUAUGAGGUGCCUCUCCUUGUAUCUCUGUUUCACCGUGGGUAUGAGGUGCCUCUCCUUGUAUCUCUGUUUCACCGUGGGUAUGAGAUUCCUCUCCUUGCAUCUCUGUUUCACCGUGGGUAUGAGGUGCCUCUCCUUGUAUACAUCUCUGUUUCACCGUGGGUAUGAGGUGCCUCUCCUUGUAUCUCUGUUUCACCGUGGGUAUGAGGUUCCUCUCCUUGUAUACAUCUCUGUUUCACCGUGGGUAUGAGGUUCCUCUCCUUGUAUCUCUGUUUCACCGUGGGUAUGAGGUGCCUCUCCUUGUAUCUCUGUUUCACCGUGGGUAUGAGGUUCCUCUCCUUGUAUCUCUGUUUCACCGUGGGUAUGAGGUUCCUCUCCUUGUAUCUCUGUUUCACCGUGGGUAUGAGGUGCCUCUCCUUGUAUCUCUGUUUCACCGUGGGUAUGAGGUGCCUCUCCUUGUAUCUCUGUUUCACCGUGGGUAUGAGGUGCCUCUCCUUGUAUCUCUGUUUCACCGUGGGUAUGAGGUUCCUCUCCUUGUAUCUCUGUUUCACCGUGGGUAUGAGGUUCCUCUCCUUGUAUCUCUGUUUCACCGUGGGUAUGAGGUUCCUCUCCUUGUAUCUCUGUUUCACCGUGGGUAUGAGGUGCCUCUCCUUGUAUCUCUGUUUCACCGUGGGUAUGAGGUGCCUCUCCUUGUAUGCAUCUCUGUUUCGACGCCAAACAUGCCGAUGCUCUAUCUGACCAAAACUUUACAUUUUGGUCUCAUCUGACGCACCUUCUUCCAGUCAUAAGUUAAAUGAGGUUUGGCAAACUCCAAGUUCCUGUGCCUGUGUCUUGGGGUCAGAAAGGGGUUUCUUCUAGCAGCCCUUCCAAAGAGCCUGUGAAGGUAGCGUCUGAAUGGUUCUUCUUGAAACCCGGUGUCCCUAAGACCCCACCAAGGUCUGCAAAUCUUCCAGUGAUUCUUGUGGAUUUUGUUGCUUCUCUCACGAUCCUCCUCCCUAUCCUGGGGGGCAAAAUGCAUGUGUCCUCUACCCGUGAGGUUUUCCAUAUCUUUAGAAUUUGUAAAUAAUUCCCCUGACAGUUCUCAGUGGAAUAUUCAAUUGUUUGUGGAUCUUCUUGUAGCCAUGACCAGAUUUAUGAAGGUCUACGACCAUCUUUCUCUUUUCAACUGCCAGUUCUUUUGUUUUCUUCAUGGUUUUGGACGACAAAGGGAUAUUGCAUGUGUGUUCUAGUUUUUAUACCCAAGUGAAACAGGAAGUGAUGUAAUGGCUCAAUAUAGUUCCUUAAAGACUUCAUGGUUUAAUUUUGGUAGAUGUUAUUUACAAUAAUCUUUAAGGGUGCCAUUAAUUGUGAAACCUUGAUUGAGAGGACAUUGACUUUGAAUUAAAUUAAUAAAUUAUUUUGGUUGGUUCCAUUGAAACAUGAAUAAAGUACAGUAUUUUUCACAUGUUGGAAUUUUGAGUCUCUAUAAUCAUAUUGUUUAUAUUUUUUAAGGACUGUUUGUGCAUUGCCAGUCAGGGGUGCCAGUAAUUGUGUAGGCCCAUGAACUGUCGGCCCAUAAACAUGUAUAUGUAUAUAUAGGCCCAUUAAAAUGUACACAUACUUCCUAUCUUGUUUUAGAUGUUCAAGAGUGGGCUGAUUUUUUCUCUCUCUAUUUUUUUACCCCCUUUUUCGAUCUUGUUUCAUCGUUGCAACUUUCCAACGGACUCGGGAGACGAAGAUCGAGUCAUGCGUCCUCCAAAACAUGACCCGCCUGACCCGGAAGCCAACCGCACCAAUGUGUCGGAGGAAACACCAUUCAACUGACGACCAAGGAUCAGCCUGCAGGCACAAGGCCCACCACAAGGAGUCGCUAUGAGCCAAGUAAAGCCACCCCCACCCGGCCAAACCCUCCCACGCUGGGCCAAUUGUACGCCGCCCUAUGGGGCUCCCGAUCACGGCCGGUUGUGAUAUAGCCCCGGUUCGAACCCGGGUCUGUAGUGACACCUCUAGCACUGCAAUGCCCCCAAAAAUCGUAUUUUCCCCCAAAUAAUCAUUUCCCAAACAAACAAAACAAUGAAACCUCCCCCCAUAUUGAUCGCGGGCAAGAUCCAUAUGUUACCCACCCUUGAUGUAGGGGUUAGGGGUCAAUAUUGAAUUUGUCCAUUAGAACUUUUCUCCGUCACCAU